rnacentral:rRNA from 1 species
GACGAACGCUGGCGGCGUGCUUAACACAUGCAAGUCGAACGAUGAAGGGGAGCUUGCUCUCCGGAUUAGUGGCGAACGGGUGAGUAACACGUGACUAACCUGCCCCUUUCUCUGGGAUAACGCUCCGAAAGGAGUGCUAAUACCGGAUACGAACUCUGAACACAUGUUCGGAGUUGGAAAGUUUUUCGGAAAGGGAUGGAGUCGCGGCCUAUCAGCUUGUUGGUGAGGUAACGGCUCACCAAGGCGACGACGGGUAGCCGGCCUGAGAGGGCGACCGGCCACACUGGGACUGAGACACGGCCCAGACUCCUACGGGAGGCAGCAGUGGGGAAUAUUGCACAAUGGGCGAAAGCCUGAUGCAGCGACGCCGCGUGAGGGAUGAAGGUCUUCGGAUUGUAACCUCUUUCAGUAGGGACGAAGCGAAAGUGACGGUACCUAAAGAAGAAGCACCGGCUAACUACGUGCCAGCAGCCGCCGUAA